GGAGAGGUCGCAUAGUUGGUCGAGUGCGCACGCUUGGAAAGCGUGUAGGCGUGAUGAGCGCCUCGCGGGUUCGAAUCCCGCCCUCUCCG
rnacentral:tRNA from 1 species